AACGUCCCAAAAUAUAUAACAGUGACCUUGCAAAAUCUUAACCCUUGUCUAAGAAAAGCGUAGAUGGUUCCUCUUCAUCUCUCUUACCCCUCUUGUUAUCUCCUCCACUUUACUUCUUCUGCAUGAGCCACACCCACUUCUUCACCAAAUGGGGUGGCUGCAAUCCCUCCUCUCUCCACUCAAGAAGUUCUGGCUCCGCUUCAAUUCAACUCAAAAGAAGAGAAGAGGGAUUUACAUUCUGUAUGAAGAUGUCAAGUCUUGCCCCUAUGAAGACGUGCACGUUCUCUGGUCCAUACUGGUGGAACCGCAUUCACCUUCUAUGCCAUCCAAAAAAAUGAAGGCCUUGGAUACAAGACAAAAUUGAGAAGGGGCUAUAGUAAUGAUGUACAUAAUAAAAUAUUUAUAAUGUUCAUACUAUAUAUAGAGUGUUUUUAUCUUACUUUUACCUUUUCCUUUAACUUUUGUAGCAUCAGUAGCAGACAGUGACUUUUGCUUUUGAAGCAUCUACCAAGUUCUUAUAUAUAAAAAUUUACUUAUCUUUGUA